rnacentral:lncRNA from 1 species
UUUUUCAAAAUUUUGUGGUUUCUUAGGGUACCCAAAGCUACCUCAGCAUACAGUCCAUCUUCAAUAUGAAAAAUUAAAUUAUUGCUUUCUGUGUUAUUUGUUCAAAUGAUAAUUAUCAUUCAGCUUAAAAAUCAAAUUAAUCAUAUAACGAAAGCUGAAAAGAUUAAUAUGAUUUAAAUAUAAGUAUUUUAAGAUUUUAGUAAGACUAUUUUUUUUAGCUGAAAUUCACC